AGCAUAACUGUGGGAGAAUAGUAAGCAUUGGACACAAAAUGGAAAAGCUGACCUUCUAGUACAGAAGAGAAUGAGCAGUGAGCGAGCAGUGCUGAUGCAAUGUGAGGCGGCCUCCAUGGUAUAAGGUUUAGGCAAAUAAUGAUGAACAAAAAUGGUCAUUCUGUGUUCCUGCUGACCCAGCACAGUGGGGACGCUGUGUAGGACAUGACCUUUGGGGGAAGGGAACACAAGAACUCAGCAUGGGGGAUUCAGAAAAGAAGUCACACGUAUUGAAGCCAGUAACACCAAGCCAGUGAAUUCUCCUUGAGGAGAAAGACCCACUUACUCUUCAAAAGAGAUAUAUGACAGCUGACAAUCCCUGGAGGAGAAUCUUUCUACUAAAUUGGUAAGGGAUGCUAAGCAAAUGAUGUGGACUCAGGAAACAACGCAUUUCAUGAUAUAUGGUUGCCUCUCAAGGUGAAUUCGAGACCUUUCUUGAAUUACAAAGAGUUGAAAACAUUCACGUACAGAAUAAACCAUUACUGCGAAUACGCUCAUAUGACACAAGAACAAUCUCUGAGCUUCUUUGAGGAUGUCCAGAUGACUGCUGACUGCACUAAUUGCAAUCAUAUAUCCAUACAGGUUCUUUCUAUAAAAUAGUGGUCGCUAGUUAUGAGGCAUUAAGCCUUCAUGGAUAUAGACAGACUAUUCCACCUAAGUGAUCUGGCAGAAGCUUAGUUUUCUACCACAACAUCCACUGUCCUCCCUCCCACCCUUCCUAGCUGGUCAGAAAAGCUACUCAGAGUAAAGACUACAUUUCCCAGCCAUCUUUGCAGCUAGGUUUAUCCACCUGACUAAAUUCCACCG